AUUGAACGCUGGCGGCAGGCUUAACACAUGCAAGUCGAGCGGAGUGAGGGUGCUUGCACCUUAGCUUAGCGGCGGACGGGUGAGUAAUGCUUAGGAAUCUGCCUAUUAGUGGGGGACAACAUUCCGAAAGGAAUGCUAAUACCGCAUACGCCCUACGGGGGAAAGCAGGGGAUCUUCGGACCUUGCGCUAAUAGAUGAGCCUAAGUCGGAUUAGCUAGUUGGUGGGGUAAAGGCCUACCAAGGCGACGAUCUGUAGCGGGUCUGAGAGGAUGAUCCGCCACACUGGGACUGAGACACGGCCCAGACUCCUACGGGAGGCAGCAGUGGGGAAUAUUGGACAAUGGGCGGAAGCCUGAUCCAGCCAUGCCGCGUGUGUGAAGAAGGCCUUUUGGUUGUAAAGCGCUUUAAGCGAGGAGGAGGCUCUUAAGGUUAAUACCCUUGAUGAGUGGACGUUACUCGCAGAAUAAGCACCGGCUAACUCUGUGCCAGCAGCCGCGGUAAAAC
rnacentral:rRNA from 1 species